ensembl:lincRNA
AAUUUUGAAAUUGGGAAAUGCAAGUUUUAAGUUGGAAAAUUUAAUGUUUUUUUUUCAAAAUUGUUUUGUCAUUUUAGGUCUUUUGUAUUUCCAUAGAAAUUUGGUAUCAUCUGGUCAAAUUCUGCCAAAAGUCACUGAGGUUUUGAUAAAAUCAAUGAACCAAUCAGGGGAAAGUACCCUUCAUAAUAAUGUCAACUUUCUCCUCUGUGAAACUGGUGUCUGACUUUCUUUUGAAGGCUUGCCAGAAGAAUCUCGUCAUUGACUAAUCUACAAAGGUCUCCUUGGAGUUCUUGUGAUGCUGACCUGCCUGAAUCACCAAAAUGAUCAAAGCAUCAGCCUUGGGGAUUAAUUCAAACAUACUGGAGAUAAUGGAUUUAAUAAAGUACUUCUUCAGCUGCUCCACGUGUGGGCCUUGUGCCUCUGGUGCUCCUGGCUCCCAUACGCAGGUCACUUGCCUUGCACUGCCUUGGGUGAAAGGAAACUUCCCUACGAGGCAGAACUGGGAUGGCACCAGCCUCUCUGGGCCUCAGAUGUACUGGGGCAGACACCCCUUGAAUAUCUACUUCAAAUCACCUUUCAUGUUUUAUUAUUGGAAAUAGACUCAUUUGAGGAUUACAUUAUUAUGUUUUGGAAAAAAUGGAAAUGAAUCAAGACAUGGAGAAUGCCAGCCUGGUUCAUGGUUCCACCUGUUCACCCAGGAUGUCUUCAAAUACUUGUGUUUCAGCAACCAGAAAUCAGCAAAGAUUCAACCUAUCCUUUUUGCCUCAGUUACUCCUUAAAUCAGUGCCACCCCUCCAAAUGAAUGUGAAUUGAAACAUGCAUUGCUUUUCAUUUGAGUGCUUACUGUGUGUGAGCCAGUGCAAAAAAUAGGAGAGAGAAAAUGAGGGAGACAAAUGCACAUGGAGCCUGCUUUUAAUGAAUUUGCUAUUAGUUUCAGCACGCAUAUUGUGUUCUUUUGUUUUUAAUUAGGUGUGUCCCUAUGACAAGAGAGCAGUGAAUGGAAAAGUGUGCUCUGUAAUUAUUGUAAGCCCCAUUAAUGAAAAACAAAAUAAAGUACAACAACAAUAACAACAACAAAACUCUAAUGUGAAAACCUCGGGACAUUUCAAUUCAUUUCUUUGUUGUUGUUCUUUAAGUUCUAAGAGAUAUGACCCAUUUUAUUUUGUAUUACUUUUGUGGUGCUGAGAUAGGACCCAUUUUAUUGAUUACAUAAAUAUUCUGCAGGUUUUAGAUACAUUAAUACAACAUAGUUUGAGUUAAUUUGAAUUAAAUUCUAGUGUUUUUCCUUUGGGUAUAGCUUGUAUGUUGGAAAAUAUAUUGAUUGUAUACUUCUUGGGGUUAGGAAGGUGAAUUACACCUGCUAUCUUUAUGGGCAUCUGCCUUCCCUGCCCCAGCACCCACUAUUCUGAGUGGGUGACUACCAAAAGGAGGGAGAUAGAUCUUGUUCAAUCUUGGGGGUGACAUUAAUGGGCCCAAUAUUGCUAAGAGAGGGGGUAGAGCACAGUUGGGCACUGAUUCUAUAUGAAAUUUGACUAAAUAUUUUUUUCAGUAUUCAUUGCAUGAUUCCUUUUAUUCCAUAGGUUGAGUGACUCCACAGUUUUUCUAAAAAAUUGUUUCUGAGCUGAGAAUAAGUUUAAGUCAUGAUUUUUCCAGUGUUAUGACAUUGAUUUGACUGAAGCCACUAGACAUUUUAUGUAGUGUCUGUGACACAUUUUAGUAUGUAUGAGCCAAUAAUAGACAAGUCUUUGUCUUGAGUAGUGUCCAUCUGAAUUGAAAAUGAACCAGCUUUUCUUUUUUAACAUCAUCAACAGACUUCUUAAUUAAGCUGCCAAUACACACUGCCAAUAACGCUGUGUGCUGUUUGAGAAAUGAAUAGCGUCAGUGCCGUUUCCAUCUUAUCAAAUAAACAAUGCUGCUGGGAUAGCAUGGAUUUUAAGUGUUCUUUGAAUGGCACUGCAGAUCGCACCCUACAUCAUUUGAUGAGCUUUUUCAUACCACCUCUUUUGACUCAAUUUGUGAUUUUUGUUUUUUAGUAAGGAAUAGCUCUAAUCUGACCAAUAACUUUGGUUAUCUGAUUCAACCUUAAUAGAACAAAUCACCCCACCAUCAAACUCCUGGUCAUGCUAUUUGUAUGCAUGUCAUUUCGGGUUGGUGAGAAGUAGCUUCCAGGAACUAUUAAUGAUCCACUGGUGUUAUACUAAAUUGUGGGUGUGUAUUGUGUAAGCAUUUGGUGGUCAUGAAGUACUUUUUUUACUUUUAUUUCUUAAGGCUCUGUAGAAGAAGUGCGACUUAGCACUUUCACUGGUUGGUAGUUUACAGUCAGUCUACUGAGAAGUCCAAAUAACUGGAAUUUUUAAUACAUUUGAGUUUCCU